rnacentral:misc_RNA from 1 species
UCCAGCUUAUCGCUGGCGGUCCCCUUAGAGUGCCCGGCAUAACCCGAUGGUAACUAAGGGCGAGGGUUGCGCUCGUUGCGGGACUUAACCCAACAUCUCACGACACGAGCUGACGACAGCCAUGCAACACCUGUCACCGAUCCAGCCGAACUGAAGGACCAAGUUUCCAAGGUCCGCGAUCGGGAUGUCAAAAGGUGGUAAGGUUUUUCGCGUUGCAUCGAAUUAAACCACAUGCUCCACUGCUUGUGCGGGUCCCCGUCAAUUCCUUUGAGUUUUAAUCUUGCGAUCGUACUCCCCAGGCGGGGUGCUUACUGCGUUAGCUGCGUCACCGAAGCAUAAAGCCCCGACAACUAGCACCCAUCGUUUACGGCGUGGACUAC